rnacentral:rRNA from 1 species
UACAGAGGUCCCGAGCGUUGUUCGGAUUCAUUGGGCGUAAAGGGUGCGUAGGCGGCGGGGCAAGUCUGAUGUGAAAUCCCGGGGCUCAACCCCGGAACUGCAUUGGAUACUGCCUUGCUUGAGUACUGGAGAGGGAACUGGAAUUUACGGUGUAGCAGUGAAAUGCGUAGAGAUCGUAAGGAAGGCCAGUGGCGAAGGCGAGUUCCUGGACAGUAACUGACGCUGAGGCACGAAGGCCCAGGGGGAGCAAACGGGG